rnacentral:rRNA from 1 species
UAAUACGUAGGGGGCAAGCGUUGUCCGGAUUUAUUGGGCGUAAAGCGCACGCAGGCGGUCUGUCUCGUUUCCAGUGACAGGUGGUGGCUUAACUACCACAGGCCUGGGAAGACCGGCAGACUUGAGGGCUUGAGAGGGAGGCGGAAUUCCAGGUGGAGCGGUGAAAUGCGUAGAGAUCUGGAAGAACACCAAAGGCGAAGGCAGCCUUCUGGCAAGCUCCUGACGCUAAUGUGCGAAAGCCAGGGGAGCGAACGGGAUUAGAUACCCCGGUAGUCCUGGCCGUAAACGAUGACCACUCGACGUGGGAGGUAUCGACCCCUUCCGUGUCAAAGCUUACGCAUGAAGUGGUCCGCCUGGGGAGUACGGUCGCAAGAUUA